rnacentral:tRNA from 1 species
GUAGCUGUAGCUCAGUGGAAGAGCACUUGCCUAGCAUGUAUGAGGCACUGGGCUCAACUCUCAGCACCACA